UGGGGAAUUUUGGACAAUGGGCGAAAGCCUGAUCCAGCAAUGCCGCGUGUGUGAAGAAGGCCUUCGGGUUGUAAAGCACUUUUGUCCGGAAAGAAAUCCUUGGCUCUAAGUACAGUCGGGGGAUGACGGUACCGGAAGAAUAAGCACCGGCUAACUACGUGCCAGCAGCCGCGGUAAUACGUAGGGUGCAAGCGUUAAUCGGAAUUACUGGGCGUAAAGCGUGCGCAGGCGGUUUGCUAAGACCGAUGUGAAAAUCCCCGGGCUCAACCUGGGAACUGCAUUGGUGACUGGCAGGCUAGAGUAUGGCAGAGGGGGGUAGAAUUCCACGUGUAGCAGUGAAAUGCGUAGAGAUGUGGAGGAAUACCGAUGGCGAAAGGCAGCCCCCCUGGGCCAAAUACUGACGCUCAUGCACGAAAAGCGUGGGGAGCAAAACAGGAUUAGAUACCCUGGUAGUCCACGCCCUAAAACGAUGUCAAACUAGUUGUUGGGGAUUCAUUUCCUUAGUAACGUAGCUAAACGCGUGAAGUUGACCGCCUGGGGGAGUACGGUCGCAAGAUUAAAAA
rnacentral:rRNA from 1 species